GCUGCACCAAUUUGUAAGUCGCUCUGGAUAAGAGCGUCUGCUAAAUGACGUAAA
rfam:Salmo salar isolate Sally breed double haploid chromosome ssa05, whole genome shotgun sequence.